rnacentral:rRNA from 1 species
ACUGCCGGGUGAUAAACCGGAGGGAAGGUGGGGAUGACGUCAAGUCAGCAUGGCCUUUAUGUCUGGGGGCUACACACGUGCUACAAUGGCAGAUACAGACCGUCGCGAGACCGCAAGGUGGAGCUAAUCGGAGGAAAGUCUGUCUCAGUUCGGAUUGGCAGGCUGCGAACUCGCCUGCAUGAAUGUUGGAAUCGUUAGUAAUCGCGGAUCAGCAUGCCGCGGUGAAUACGUUCCCGGGCCUUGUACACACCGCCCGUCACAUCACGAAAGCUGGCUGUACCAGAAGUCGCCGAGCUAACCCGCAAGGGAGGCAUAGCUGCCUGUAGGUAUGGUUAGUGAUUGGGGUGAAGUCUGUAAUCAAGGUAACC